UUGGAAUCGUGAAAGAGAAGUUAUAUUUAUUGAGUUUAAAACCCAAUAAACAGGGCAGAUUGCAGCAGCCUUAAGAGGCUGAAAUUUGAAGGAUUUUGGAUUUAAAGAUCCAUUUGUUGUCAAAGGCAACAACUUAUUAGCAAAGUAUAACAGUCCUAAAGGGAUGAAAUAUGGGUAUUUUGGACUUUAAAGCUUGGUAAAAUG
rnacentral:misc_RNA from 1 species